UACGUAGGGGGCUAGCGUUGUCCGGAAUCAUUGGGCGUAAAGCGCGUGUAGGCGGUUCGGUAAGUCCGCUGUGAAAGUCGGGGGCUCAACCCUCGAAUGCCGGUGGAUACUGUCGGACUAGAGUACGGAAGAGGCGAGUGGAAUUCCUGGUGUAGCGGUGAAAUGCGUAGAGAUCUGGAAGAACACCAAAGGCGAAGGCAGCAUCCUGGGAAGCGCCUGACGCUCAUGUGCGAAAGCUAGGGGAGCGAACGGG
rnacentral:rRNA from 1 species